UACGGAGGGUGCAAGCGUUAUCCGGAAUUACUGGGCGUAAAGGGCUCGUAGGCGGCCAACUAAGUCAGACGUGAAAUCCCUCGGCUUAACCGGGGAACUGCGUCUGAUACUGGAUGGCUUGAAUCCGGGAGAGGGAUGCGGAAUUCCAGGUGUAGCGGUGAAAUGCGUAGAUAUCUGGAGGAACACCGGUGGCGAAGGCGGCAUCCUGGACCGGCAUUGACGCUGAGGAGCGAAAGCUAGGGGAGCAAACAGG
rnacentral:rRNA from 1 species